GACGAACCGUGCGAACGUUGUUCGGAAUCACUGGGCUUAAAGGGCGCGUAGGCGGCUUGCCAAGUCAGGGGUGAAAUCCUGCAGCUUAACUGUAGAAGGGCCUUUGAUACUGGCGAGCUCGAGGGAGGUAGGGGUAUGUGGAACUUCCGGUGGAGCGGUGAAAUGCGUUGAUAUCGUAAGGAACGCCGGUGGCGAAAGCGACGUACUGGACCUCUUCUGACGCUGAGGCGCGAAAGCUAGGGGAGCAAACGGG
rnacentral:rRNA from 1 species